rnacentral:rRNA from 1 species
UUUAAACAAUGGAGAGUUUGAUACUGGCUCAGGAUGAACGCUAGCGGCAGGCUUAAUACAUGCAAGUCGAGGGGUAACAGGUCCUUCGGGAUGCUGACGACCGGCAAACGGGUGAGUAACACGUAUGCAAUCUUCCUCUAACUGGGGUAUAACUUUGGGAAACUGAAG